UGCAGUCGAACGCUUCUUUUUCCACCGGAGCUUGCUCCACCGGAAAAAGAGGAGUGGCGAACGGGUGAGUAACACGUGGGUAACCUGCCCAUCAGAAGGGGAUAACACUUGGAAACAGGUGCUAAUACCGUAUAACAAUCGAAACCGCAUGGUUUUGAUUUGAAAGGCGCUUUCGGGUGUCGCUGAUGGAUGGACCCGCGGUGCAUUAGCUAGUUGGUGAGGUAACGGCUCACCAAGGCGACGAUGCAUAGCCGACCUGAGAGGGUGAUCGGCCACAUUGGGACUGAGACACGGCCCAAACUCCUACGGGAGGCAGCAGUAGGGAAUCUUCGGCAAUGGACGAAAGUCUGACCGAGCAACGCCGCGUGAGUGAAGAAGGUUUUCGGAUCGUAAAACUCUGUUGUUAGAGAAGAACAAGGAUGAGAGUAACUGUUCAUCCCUUGACGGUAUCUAACCAGAAAGCCACGGCUAACUACGUGCCAGCACC
rnacentral:rRNA from 1 species